GAUGGUCACUAACUUCCAUUGACUCAUCUUUCUUUAGGACUGGAUGUGCACUGUUGACCAAGCGUUUGCCACGUGAGAGAAAACAUGCUCUUUCAGCAACUGUUUUACUUUUAAAAAACUUAAUAUAGGGGUGGGUUUUGCACAAGCCAUGGUAUGACCUUAGAUCAGGGGACAGUUUCCAGGAGUCAGCUCUCCCCUUCCACCACCUGAGUCCCGGGAGCUUCCAGGAGUCAGCUCUCCCCUUCCACCACCUGAGUCCCGCGAUCAAACUUAGUCUUCCAGAUACUAUGGGCCUGUAGGCUGAAGAUGGGUGCCCCAACAUAACAAAAGAACUCUGAGUGACAUCUCUGUCAAUUCUAGAGUUUUUGAAGUCACUUACAAUGGACUUCCUGCUUACUGAGAAAAAAGAAUCUAUCACUCAAUGAUAGCGUUUCAGUCUUGACAUAAUGGAAGUUUCUAGGCAUCUUUUCUGAGUAAGUACUAACAUGAGGGAUUUCAAGCUGGAACGCCAUCCUCCCUUUCGGCUUCUUGUGGGCACUCUUGCACUUCUGCACCGCCUGAGCGUCCGCACACACACACUCUCACUCCAGUGUUCUUGCACUUCUGCACCGCCUGAGCUUCCGCACACACACACUCUCUCUCUCUGCACCGCCCGAGCGUCCGCACACACACACUCUCUCACUCCAGUGCUCUUGCACAUCGCUCUCUUCCCAUUUUCUGCUUCAUCUUGUGACAUCUCCUCAGUAAACUCUGGAACCCAGGGUUAUUCUCUCCAAUUUCUCCUUCUGCUCAAAGUUAAUAUUUAACUGACAUAGGCCACAGCAAGAGACGUGGUGGACAAAGCCCACUGUGCACUCUCACUACGGCCUGUUCAAAGCUCAUGGUACAAGCUUCAGGAAAAAGUAGACCUUCCCAAAGCCUCUCAGGAGCUCCUGGUAUUCAAGAGUCACAAUCAGUUUGCAGUAUGUAUUACCACUAGCUUAUCUUUGCCUCUAUCUCCUACUGUCUGAUUUUAUAGAAAAUUGUACAGCCCAUUUUUCUAUCAGGACAUGUAUCAACCAUUUUUCAGAGCCCACACAGAAGGGGAAGACUAACAGAUGUGAAGGACACACUUUGGGGUGCCAUGACUUCACCUGUCACAUCCAUCAGCACUCCACCUGCCUCGGUGACGAUGACGCCAGCUCCUGCCAUGUCCCAGCAGUGGAUCCCCAUUUCAUAGUAUGCAUCUGCUCCUCCAGUUGCCACAAGGCACAUAUUAACAGCAGCUGUUCCAACACUCCGGAUUCUAACGUGAAAAAUAAAGAUUGGUGGGGAAAACCCUCUUAGAAAAGGUA